rnacentral:lncRNA from 1 species
GUUUUCCACAGGACUGGGCCCUGUUUGAGGGGUGAAAACAGGAGGUUGGUAGAGAGACCUGCCCAAGGUGACUGAAGAAAGGAUGGGGAGUCAUCACGUGAGGACAGGGAUUUGAGGGCAGGCAGCUCCCGCACAGCAGGCGGGCUCCAGAGGCAACUCAUGGAGUGUUGCACUUCCUUGUUUAUUUAUUUUUUCCUUAUUGCUAUUAAUCUAAAAUUGUUCACGUUUCUCUUUCUGGUCUACACAGAAUACUUUUAGAUUGGAAAGAUUUUGAUCGUCUCAAAAGUCUUGGGUAUAAAAUUUCAGUCUGUGUGGCAGGGAACAGCUCACUCCUGACUGGCUGAAGAUAGGAGGUUGAAGAAAUAAACGAACUUGAAGCAGACUUGAAGUUUCAUGCCUGGGAUCCUAAA